CGUUUAAUUACAUGUUGUGAGACCGUGACUUUGUGUUUUUCUUUGUUUUUCGUCAAUCUAUAGUAAAUACAGAGAGAAAAGGAAAGGUCUUAUUAUAUAUUAUAAUCAAAAAUAAAUUUCAUUGAAAUAUUACUAACUUAUUUCUGGGUAUCAUGCUUCAGAGAACCAUGAUGUGUUACAAUACGCUCCGCUCUUUAAUUUUAGUUUAGUAGAAAAUAUUCUCAAAACCUACAUAUAUCAAAAUUAUGUCAGGGUUCUAAAAUGAAUCGGUAAUAAAAUCGUAAACCAGAUCAACAUUGGAAAUAAUUUAAAAAAUUUGCUUUGGUCCGAUUGAAAAAAGUACUAUACUACCAAAUAGUUACAUCUAUUCUGUAGCAAUAAAAGUUAUAAAAUUCUGUCUAUUAUUAAUUUUAAUAUUAUAAAGUGUAUCGUUUAACUCUUAGCCAUUAUUUAUAAUUUAAUUGUUAAUUAUGCCUAAAAAAACGAAUUAACAACUUUGGUAUUGUUUGGAAGGUAAACAGCUUAAUUCCUUUAUGUAAAGCCACCUUAACAUGUUUUUGCAUAAUUCUGACUCACGUUGGUUGCUAUCGGGCUUAAGCCAUAAAAAUCGAAGAAAAAAAGAAGAAGACGAAGAGACUUUCACUUGUCAUUUCAAUGUCACUUUCCGGCCCACAAGCAUAAACGCCACCGGCAACGGAAGUUCCCAAAAUCCAAACAAAUGUUGGAAGAUAUUUUUAAGUCUCCGCAUCUUUCUUACUUUCCUAUAUGAAAAUAAAAUUGGACUACACCAACAAAGGUUAUGUGUUUUGCACCAGAUUGAAAGCAUCAUAGCGAAAAACGGACCUGUCAUAUCUUUAAAUUUUCAAAAGAGCCCCUGGAAAAAGAAAAAUGAAUAUCUUUGCCAAGGAAUAGGUACUAAGGCAAAUGGAUAAAAAACCUUCAGUCCAUGCAUUGGUAUGUAAUUGUUGACAAAAAUACAAUGAAUGGCCUCACUACUUUUCCACAUGCAAAGAGGUUAACCAAGGAGAAAUUAAAGAAAUUGUCAAAAACCUAGGUAAAUACAGAAUUGCUUAGUACAAACAUAUCUAUACCCAGUACAAGUUCGUCCACUUCUUUGAAGCAUGGUACUUCAAACAGAAACACUGUCAACAAUUUUGUAGAAGGUGAGCCGGUGUCAAAUUCCAGUAAGGGACAUGAUUUCAAUUUUGCACCAACAGCAGAGCUAAAAUUCAUUUUGCCGCAAAAAACUGGAGGAUGUGAAAGAAAAAAGUGCAGAAGUUAAAAUUAAGUUUUUCAUAUGAGCACAUAAAAAAUAAUCAUGACAAAGUUCAGUUGUAUACAGGUUUGACAUGUAAUAAAUAUUUUUGUAAUCUUAUUAAGUUAAUUAGUUUUAUAUAUUAUUUAAAUAAUAAUUGUAUACUUCACAUAGAAUAUGCAGAAAUUAUAUGUACAUAUAUAAAUUUUUUUAUUAAGAUAAGGACAACAUGUAUUAAAGCAUAACACAUAAUAUAAACACACACGUAAUAUCUUCAUUAAAAAUUAUGA